rnacentral:lncRNA from 1 species
AGCUUAAGAGAAAAAAUGUAGUAUAUUGUUUGAUUAUGAGUGAAUAUAUGAUAUUUACAAAAUUAUUAAGAUCCUCUUUAUAUAGUAGAGGAAUCCUAUUUAUAGUAUAAUUUUAAUUACAGAAGUAAAUCUCAUAAAAAGCUAAACAAUCGAUCCUGACUCGAUACAUGUCGAGAAUUCCGCCACAUUCUUUACUUGAUCACGGAUAUCUCGGCUUUAUGUUAUUCGAUCUAACAAGCUUCCUUUGAUCUCACUCGAUCUCUUUCUUGCUCUACUCUCGAUCACUGCUAGUCUUUCUUGAUGGGCCAUUGAUCCACGAGCUUACCAAUCCAUUAAUCAAUAUAACCGAGGCUGAGCCUUGAUCUGCCACCCUGAUUUCGGUAAGUCAUACAAAAUUAGGCAAGCCAAUUUUGACGGUAUACAAUUGGAAAUAUAGUUUGACAUAAAUAAUCUUUUUCAAAUACAAUCACCCAUAUAUUUCAGCAAUAAAAUUUGAAAAUCGUAGAAGGUUUGGAAAAAUUGGGAGAAAAAAGUGGAAGAAAAUCAAAACUAGAAUUGGAACACUCAUAGUUGAUGGAAUGAAUUGAUAAAGUAGAAUAAAACGAUAGCUACAAGGAUUUUCAGCAUGAAAUCAUUUUUUUAAAAGAAAUGGAAAAAGAAUAGAGAAAAGUUACUGACCUAGUGGAGAUGAUGAAUUAAAUCUCCACAAAUCCUUCAAAACAUACUUUUAACUUGGAGUAAAUAAAUGCGUAAAAGGGGCUGACGGAGAGUUCUAGGAUGUUGGGGUUCAUAUCGAUAAAAAAGCAUAUGAAAGUAGCGGAGACUUCUAGAAUAUUGUAUGAUUGUUGGGGGAUUUAUAUGCAUAUACGUAUUUUUAUUAUUAUAUAUAUUAUAAUAAAAUAACAGGUAUAAUGACAAGUCUGCCCUUGAUCGACCAUCUUUGCGUUUUCUAUAUAAUAGAUCAUCAUUUCCCUCGUACCUUUGUUUUCUUGUGAAAAUU